AUAUUGAUACUUACACUUUACCAUCAUAACAUAUUGUUGGUCCAUUCCUUGGAGGCGUCUAUGAAGAUUGAUACUUACACUUUACCAUCAUAACAUAUUGUUGGUCCAUUCCUUGAGGUCUAUGAAGAUUGAUACUUACACUUUACCAUCGUAACAUAUUGUUGGUCCAUUCCUUGAGGUCUAUGGAGAUUGAUACUUACACUUUCCAUCGUAACAUAUUG
rnacentral:lncRNA from 1 species